GCGGAAUUGGCGGAUUUGGUAGCCGCACUAAAUUUAGGUCUUAGCGCCGUAAGGUGUGAGAGUUCAAGCCUCUCCUUCCGCACCU
rnacentral:tRNA from 1 species